rnacentral:rRNA from 1 species
UACGUAGGGGGCAAGCGUUGUCCGGAUUCAUUGGGCGUAAAGAGCGUGUAGGCGGCCAGGUAGGUCGGUUGUGAAAACUGGAGGCUCAACCUUCAGAGGUCGACCGAAACCAUCUGGCUAGAGUCCGGGAGAGGAGAGUGGAAUUCCUGGUGUAGCGGUGAAAUGCGCAGAUAUCAGGAGGAACACCUAUAGCGAAGGCAGCUUGCUGGGACGUUACUGACGCUAAGGCGCGAAAGCGUGGGGAGCGAACAGG